AUCUGGCACUUUAAAACAAGCAAAAUGAAAUCCUUUUCUUUUACAAUUAUAUAAAGCUAACUUACGAAUCAGGAAGUUACCCUGCAAAUCAUCUCAUCUACUAUUUUUAUAAAUGAGAUGACUGAUGUCUCGGGGCACCAGUGGAACUUGGUUGUGGUCAAAAGCUGACGAGUAUAGCAGCCUGGAUCUGCCCCAUGAUGCCUGGACUUGGGCUUCUCCACCCUUUUGUGUCUGAAAAUUCAUCAUGGAGACUACUGAAGUAGAAUCAAGACCUGCUGGAAAAAUAACCAUGUGUUGAACCGGGAAGCCAUACAGAAGCCAAAGAACUUCAUAUUGUCACCUGCAUAUUGUAAAUGAUGUUCUGAUUGGAGCUACCAAGGGCCCUAGAAGCAGAAAGUACCAUCAGUCCCAAGCUUUGUUCUGCAUAGGAACAGGUGUUAUGAAGUAUUGAAUGGAGAAAUCUCAGCUGCCCCACAGAGGGCCCCAUGGAAGAAGAAAAUUUUAAAUAUGCCAAGCUCCAGAGUUAUCCUUCCUCUCUACAGAGUUUGUAACCCCAGGUUAGCAAUACUGAAGGUGUUGCUAUGGCUACCGCUAUACUGUGACUUCAGGUGGUGAGAAAGCUGCAGGAGGCAGAGUCUGUGCUUUCAUGCAGAUGUCCUCAAGACAGCAGAGAAGGAAGGCUAUCCUAUGGAAUAGUUGACAUUUCCUCAUUUUACAGAGAUGAUAAUAAUGACCUAAGCAAACAGAUUGAAAUAGACCUGAAAGCAAAAGUUGUUCCAUAAUUUAUGAGCUCCUAGGAUCUAUGAAGAAUCUAUAAUUAAGAGAAACGUUACUAUUAAGACCGAUGGAUAAACUCAGAUUGCAUUAGAUGCAAAAGAAUCUUGAGUCUUAAUUAACAAAAAGCUAAUAUCCAGAAGGAAACUGUGUGGAGAUCUAACAACACAGCUGAUGGUCAAAUUCAGAUCUGGCUGGUCAUCAAUCAUGGCUCCAUGCCCCACUAAUGCUGAAGAAGUUGUAAGAAUGACAUUAAUUUUCAAGUUGAAAGAACAUUUAAACAAACUAUAUAUUUUUUGUUCAUAGAGACACAAUUACUUGCUAUCUUUAAAUUGCACCUGUAAGAAAAACACCAAAACUGCUCUGAUUCUUGUUUUCAUCUUUCACAGUCUUCUUAUGUUGUCUAAUAUAUAAAUCCACAAUUUAAAAGAUCUUUCAGGUUGCUGAGAAAAUAGUUGAAAUUGAGAAACUGGAUGCUGUGACUGAAGAGUGCAAAAAACUAGACAAAAUUGAAAUUUUUCAAUUUAUGAGAGCAAGUCUGUGUAAAGGACUGUGAAAGGCCAAUUGAAAAUGUUUUUCCUACAGGGGAAGAAAACAAUCAGAAUGACAUGGGUACAACUGUUAACCUUUACAAUUUGUAACAAAGGCAAAAAAGUCUCAUUUGGUAUAAAAUUGUCCAAUUAAUAUUUCAUUAACUUGCGAAAAAAAAAGAAAAGAAGGGAGGAGGCAGGAAAGAUAGCUCAUAAGAAAAAUAUUACAAUAUGGAAGUAUCAAAGCAGAAACUGAAAGUAUGUCACUACCUUACCUUUCUCUGCCUCGAAAGAAAAUCUGUGUAAUAGUUGGAUAUUAAUAUGUUUAACUUGCAUAGUGUAAAUUUACAUUUUAUACAAUAUAACUGAUAUAUGUUCCAAAUAUAAUAUGCUAUUUAUUUUCCGUUUUUCAUUACACAAAAAUAGGCUCACAACAUAGAUAUGAUUCCCUAAAUUUUAUUUUUUUUAUUUUUAAAAUGUAUCAUGGACUUUUGCUGGUGGCAAGAAAAAGUCAAUAUACUUUUCCCUAUUCUCCUAUUACAUACAACUAAAAACACUGUAUUUGUAUAAAAGGCAACAUAAGGAGACUGAAAGAUGGAAAUAAGAAUGAAGACUGGCCAGGCACAGUGGCUCUCACCUGUAAUCCCAGAAAUUUGGGAGACAAAGGCGGGUAGAUCACUUGAGGUCAGGAGUUCAAGAACAGCCUGGUCAACAUGUGGAAACCCAGCCUUUUCUAAAAAUACAAAAAUUAGAUGGGUGUGGUGGCAAGCUCCCGUAAUCCCAGCUACUGGGGAGGCUGAGGCAGGAGAAUUGCUUGAACUUGAGAGGCGAAGGCUGCAGUGGGCUCAGAUCACGCCAUUGCACUCCAGCCUGGGUGACAGAGCAAGACUCCAGAAGAAAGAAUAAGAAGGAAAAGGAGAAGGAGAAAGAAUAAGAAGGCAGGCUGAUUAGGGACUUCAGGAUCCAAAGGCCAACGUGGUGGUUUUCUCUGUAUGUUUGUUUUCUUUUGUCUCCUAUACCCUACACUCAAAGCAGAAGAAGCCAGUCAGCCCAGAAACCACAAAAGGCAUUGAGAAACAAAAGAAAACCUACUCUCUCUACCUAAAGUACCAGGAAAGGGACAGCACAAUGAGGAUGAAACCUUUCGACAAUAACUGUUGUACCUCAACAAAACACCACGGGAAAAAAACUGGUCACGCCCCAACCUUUGCCAGCCAAGACUAAAUGGGAAGCCUAUCCUUUCACUCUUGCAAGAUUGCAACGAAGCACCUCAACACCACCUCUGCACAUUUUACUUUGACAACUUAGAAAAAUGGACCAAUUCUUUGAAAAAUGCAAGCUAAUACAACUCAUUUAAUAUAAAAUAGAUAACUUGAUAGCCUACAGCAAUUAUGAAAAUUGAAUUUGUAACUAAAAAUCUCUCCCCAAAAGUCGCCAAGAUCAGAUAGUUUCACUGGAGAACUCAAGCAAAUGUUUAAGGAAAAAUUAACACCCAUUCUGUACAAAUUUUGCCAAAAAAUAGAGAGAAGACUUUCCAAUUAAUUUUAUGAAGCUGAUGCUAUACUAAUGUCACAACUGGACAAGGACAAUACUAAUAAAUAAAUAAAUACGAACUACAGAUCAAUAACUCUCAUGGAUAUAGAAGUAAACAUCUUUAAUAAAGCAGAAAUCAGUGAAAUAUAUAUGAAGACUAAAUGGGAUUUAUUUUCAGGAUGCAAAGAUGGUUCAAUAAGCAAAUAUCCACUAAUUUAAUCUACCAUAUUAACAGGCUAAAGAAGAAAAAAAUAACAUCAAUCAAUGCAGGAAAAAAAUCUGACAAAAUUUGACACUCAUUCAUGAUAAAAAUCUCUAAAAAAAAUAGGGAUACAGGAGAACACCUCAAUUUCAUAAAGAAGAUCUGCAAGAAAGCCAUCCUAUUAUUAUACUUAAUGGGAAAGACUGAAUGUUUCCUCCCUAAGCCUGUGAAAAAGUCAUACCUGCUUUCACCACCGUUAUUCAACCUAGUGCUUGAAUUUCUAGCCAGUGCAAUAGUAAAAUAAAAAGAAAUGAAAGAGGUACAAGUUAGACAGGAGGAAAUGAAACUAUUUCUAUUAGCAGAUAACAUAAUUACAUAUGUAAAAAAUCUCAAAGAUUCCACCAAAAAAAUAGAAAUGAAGUGAGUUCACUAAGUUCAUGGGAUACAAGAUAAGCAUACAAAAAUCUACUGUAUUUUUAUAUACCAUCGAUAAUCAUGUCGUUGUUGAAAUUACAAGCACAAUACCAUUUACAGUUUUCCUAAAAUUAUGGAAUACUUAGAGGUAAAUCCAACAAGACAUCAGGACUUACAUGCUUAAAACUACAAAGCAUUGAUUUGAAAAUAAAAUCACCAAAUUUCUAAAUAAAUAAAGAGAACAUACUGGGUCCAUGUAUUGUAACACUAUGCAGUACAGAUGUCAAUUCUUCCUCAAAUUGAUAGGUAGGUUUAGUGAACUCCCUACCAAACUUUCAGCAUGAUUUUUCUAUAUGUCUAUAAAAUUACUGAAAAAUUUACAUGGAAAGAACCAGGAACUACAAUCGUUGAAACAAUUGUGAAAAGAAUAAUAAAUUAAAGGCAUCAGCUUGUCCAAUUUCAAGACUUAUGAUAUGGCUAUAGCAGUCAAGGCUGUAUGACAUUGGCAGAGGCAUGGCCACAUAGACCAGUAGAAAAGGAAAGAAAACUCAUAAACACACACACACACACACACACACCCCUAAAUGUUUUUGAAAAAAGUGCAAAAGCAAUUUUGUUGCUUUGUUCAUUGGUGUUGCACAAAAUGAUCAGCAUAGGCAAAACAAACCUGGAGUUAAAUCUCACACCCAAAAAAAAUUAGCUCAAAAUCAAUCAUGGAUUUAAAUUUGAAACCUAAAACUACAAAACUUUUAGAAAAAGACAAGAGAAAACUUUGGAGACCUAGGUCUACCUAAAGCAUUCUUCACCUUGAAAUCAAAAGCAUGAUUCAUAAAAUUAAAAACUGCACUGUUUUAAACCAAUAAGAUUUACUAAAUUGAUAAACUGAACUUCAUUAAAUUUUUUAAAAUUUGUUCUAGGAAACUAUAUUAGGAUGAUUAUAAAGGAAGCUGCAGAGUGGGAAGAAAGACCACAUAAUUGACAAAGACUCACAUCUGGAGUAUAUAAAUAACUCAAAACUCAAUAGUAAAAACAAAUGCAAUUAUAUCAUGAGCAAAAAAUAUUGAGGCAUUUCACUGAAAAAGAUACAUAGAUGCAAAAAAAGUAUAUGAAGAAACAUUCAGUAUUAUUAACCAUUAAGGAAAUACAGAUAAAAACCAAACAAAUAUUACUAUACACCUCUCAAAAUGACUGAAAUAAAAAAUAAUACCCAGGCAAGGUGGCUCAUUCCUGUAAUCCCAGCACUUUGGGAGGCCAAGGCAGGUGGAUCAUUUGAGGUCAGGAGUUCGAGACCAGCCUGGCCAACAUGGUGAAAUUCAUCUAUACUAAAAAUAUGAAAAUUAGCCAGGUGUGGUGGUGGGCACCUGUAAUCCCCGCUACUCAGGAGGCUGAGACAAGAGAAUCACUUGAACCCGGGAGGCAGAGGUUGCAGUGAGCUGAGAUUGCCCCAUUGAACUCCAGCCUGGGUGACAAGAAACUCCAUCUCAAUAAUAAUAAUAAUAACCACCAAAUGCCAGCAAGGAUGUGGAGAAAUAAUCACUCAUACAUUUAUGGUGGGAAGAGAAAAUGGUAAAGCUACUCCAGGAAAAAAAAAUUCUCAGCAUUCUUACAAAAUUAAACAUGCAACUACCCUGCAACCCAGGAAAUGCACUCUUGGGCAUUUAAAUUAAAAAAAUUAAACCUGUGUUUGCACAAAACUUGUAUGUGAAUGUUUAUAGCAGCUUUCUUUGUACUAGCUCAAAACUAUAAAUAUCACCCUGACGUUCUUCAACAGGUGAUUGGUUAAAUAAAUUGGUAUAUCCAUGCUAUGAAAUACUACUCACCAAUAACAAGAAACAAGCUAUUAAAAUAUGCAACAAACUGGGGAAUUGCCAGAAAAAAUAAAUUAUGAUGAAUGAAAAAAAGCCAAUCCCAUACAUUUACAUGACACAGUGAAUUGUGUGUGUGUAUACACGAAUAUAUAUACUAUUUUGUAUAUGAAAUACCUCACAAAAUUAUAAAAUGGAGAACAAUUUAUUGGUUUCUAUGGGUUAAGAAGGGGUGAAGAUAAGAGGAAAGUGGGGAUGACCAUAGAAGGGCAGCAUGAGGGAGCCUUUUAAUGAUGGAGUGUUCUGAAUAUUGACUGUAUCAGUGUCAAUAUCCUGGCCAUGAAAUUGGACUAUAGUUUUGAAAGACGUUAUUGUUGGUAGAAACUGGGUAAAGGGUACAAACGAUCAUCUGUAUUGUUUUUGAUAACUAUAUGAACCUAAUAUUAUCUAAAAAUAAAAAGCUUAACCUUUAUUAAACUUAAAAUAAAUUAAUUAGUAGAAAGUAAUAAUCAAGAGAUUAAUUGUAUUAAAUUUGUCCAUAUCUUUCUGAGACAAGACCCAGAAAUGGAACUAUCUCUCACAUACACUUUCUCUCUCUUGCAGAAAGGCAUUCAGAUAUGCAUCAUAUAAGAUUUGCAAUAAUAUGUUAUAUUCCAUAUUUUCUUAAUUUCUCAUUUUUUCUUUUGUAUAACAUUAACAUCUUUGUAUAACAUUAAAAUUCUUCUGUUCAUUUU